rnacentral:rRNA from 1 species
CGAAUGGGGGGAUUCAUCGUCAGCGGCUCUGGCCUCCCGUCUGCGCGUGAUGCCCCGACCACGGACCUUCGCGGUUCCGCGGCGAGGGCACGCCGUCUUCGGCGAAUGUCUGGAGUCGUAGUCGUGCACUUCUCCCCUAGUAGAACGUCGCGACCCGUUGAGUGUCGGUCUACGGCCCGAGUGGGCGCCUGCCUCGUCGUCUCGUACGCACGCGGCAGACCCUCGGUUGCCCGGCCGGCUGCUCGGCGGUACUCGCACGGUAUCGGGCCGCAACCAAUCCAUCUCGAAUGUGUUUGCGUCGGGCCCGCCGCAAGCUGGGUCAGAAACUCGGAGGUCGGACUUAGCGCCGUCCCCGGGACUGGCCAGCUGUUGGUAGGCGGUGUCCUCGGACUGGCCAAGCUUCGAAUUACCGGUCGGCGACGCUACUGCUUUGGGUACUCUCAGGACCCGUCUUGAAACACGGACCAAGGAGUCUAACAUGUGUGCGAGUCAUUGGGAUGGAAAAACCUAAAGGCAAAAUGAAAGUGAAGGUCGGCCUCCGCGUCGACCGAGGGAGGAUGGGCCGCGUUACGAUGCGGCUCCGCACUCCCGGGGCGUCUCGUUCUCAUUGCGAGAAGAGGCGCACCCAGAGCAUACACGUUGGGACCCGAAAGAUGGUGAACUAUGCCUGGUCAGGACGAAGUCAGGGGAAACCCUGAUGGAGGUCCGUAGCGAUUCUGACGUGCAAAUCGAUCGUCGGAACUGGGUAUAGGGGCGAAAGACUAAUCGAACCAUCUAGUAGCUGGUUCCCUCCGAAGUUUCCCUCAGGAUAGCUGGCACUCGCUCGAUCGAGUCUCAUCUGGUAAAGCGAAUGAUUAGAGGCCUUGGGGCCGAAACGACCUCAACCUAUUCUCAAACUUUAAAUGGGUGAGAUCUCUGGCUUGCUUGAACUAUGAAGCCACGAGAUAUCGGAUCAGAGUGGCCAAGUGGGCCAAUUUUGGUAAGCAGAACUGGCGCUGUGGGAUGAACCAAACGCGGAGUUAAGGCGCCUAAGUCGACGCUUAUGGGAUACCAUGAAAGGCGUUGGUUGCU